rnacentral:lncRNA from 1 species
UACAGGGUAGUCCACCCGAGACUCACAGUGCAGAGAGGAGUACUGAGCUGUGCGUGGAUACACACAGGUAUUUUAAAAUUCCUGUGAGCUACGGCUACAGAUGCAUGUACAUCUUUAUCUGACAUUACAACUUUAUCUGACUGUGGGAGGAUCUAUAGGGACUGUGACCCUAGAUCUCACAUCAUGGUUUGGAGGCCAUGUGUAAUUGAAGACCAAACUGACGCUGCACUGGACCCAUGGGAACCCUAGAGUGGCUGGGUCAUGAGCCAUGCCUUCAAGUGGGAGUAGGGGGCCUUUUAUCCCUGGCCUGGUCUACUGGGCCACCUUGCCGAGAGUUACAGAGUGAGACUGUGGGGUUUUCAAGAUGGAUCACGAGCGCUUCAUUGAGAGCAGAGCUUUCCCAACCUACACAGGCAGGAGCAGCUCAGGAAGGUGUAAGUAGUGUGGGCAUGGGCCUGCUCCUAGUUCUAGUGUGAACAGGAAGGAAGGGAAUGGAGGUUGCAGACCCCAGCCCCAGCCCCUAGUGUUUGGUAGUCUAAAUGGUCCUUCCCCCAAAUAGGCUGGUCAGAGGCUCUCAAUGCCCAGCACUCAGUGCUACACACACUGGCCUUUAUUCUCAAGAAGCCUCUCUAUGGGACAGACUUGCAGUCCCCCACUACCCCUGGUGGGAUUCCCAGAAGAGUGUGAAAUGGGUCCUUUGUGCUGGGACCACCAUCUCAUUCUUGAAAACAAGCCCCAAGCAGCAGAAGAUAAAAGGGAGGGGAAAAGACUUUAGGGCGGGCCUAGUGGUGACAUCAGGGAAGGGAACCUUUUCUAAGUUCCAGCUUUGUCACAGCAAGACCAAGAGGCAUUGGAAAGUGAGGAACACUAUCCUUGGAGCAGGAGGUUAGUGACUCAUUUAUGGCCCUGGGGCUGGGUGCAUGAGGGGGCUACCAGAGAAUCCACUGGGGAGAGACUGGGAAAAGUGAUAAGGCUCCACAAGUUGAGGGACUCAAGUGUAGCCUGGAGACCUGAGCAUCUUCUCCAGAUCCUAUGAGGGUUUCAGAUGACACUUGGAACUAAGGACAUACAAAAAGGGCUGGUGGGCAGCAGAGGGGAACUUAUGUCCAUCAGCUGUGACUACCCUGGCCAUGAAGUAGGGAGGGGUCUGGCUUCAGAGUGAGUCCAGAAGGCGCCAUUUCUGUGGCACUUCAUAGGCAGAUGAAGCAGUGGUCCAUAGCACUGACACCUUAGUUUAAAUUUUCUGGAUGGAUGCAUAUAUACACUCUAGAGCAGUGGUCCUCAAUUUUCCUAAUGCUGUGGCCCUUUAAAAAGUUCUGCAUGUUGUGGUGAACCUCAAUCAUGAAAUUAUUUUUGUUGCUACCU